GAUGAACGCUGGCGGCGUGCCUAAUACAUGCAAGUCGAGCGAACGGACGAGAAGCUUGCCUCUCUGAUGUUAGCGGCGGACGGGUGAAUAACACGUGGAUAACCUACCUAUAAGACUGGGAUAACUUCGGGAAACCGGAGCUAAUACCGGAUAAUAUUUUGAACCGCAUGGUUCAAAAGUGAAAGACGGUCUUGCUGUCACUUAUAGAUGGAUCCGCGCUGCAUUAGCUAGUUGGUAAGGUAACGGCUUACCAAGGCAACGAUGCAUAGCCGACCUGAGAGGGUGAUCGGCCACACUGGAACUGAGACACGGUCCAGACUCCUACGGGAGGCAGCAGUAGGGAAUCUUCCGCAAUGGGCGAAAGCCUGACGGAGCAACGCCGCGUGAGUGAUGAAGGUCUUCGGAUCGUAAAACUCUGUUAUUAGGGAAGAACAUAUGUGUAAGUAACUGUGCACAUCCUGACGGUACCUAAUCAGAAAGCCACGGCUAACUACGUG
rnacentral:rRNA from 1 species